rnacentral:rRNA from 1 species
GGUUAAGCGACUAAGCGUACACGGUGGAUGCCCUGGCAGUCAGAGGCGAUGAAGGACGUGCUAAUCUGCGAAAAGCGCCGGCGAGGUGAUAUGAACCUUUGACCCGGCGAUGUCCGAAUGGGGAAACCCAGUGUGAUUCGUCACACUAUCGUUAACUGAAUACAUAGGUUAACGAGGCGAACCGGGGGAACUGAAACAUCUAAGUACCCCGAGGAAAAGAAAUCAACCGAGAUUCCCCCAGUAGCGGCGAGCGAACGGGGAGCAGCCCAGAGUCUGAAUCAGCUUGUGUGUUAGUGGAAGCGUCUGGAAAGUCGCACGGUACAGGGUGACAGUCCCGUACACGAAAGCACACAGGCUGUGAACUCGAAGAGUAGGGCGGGACACGUGGUAUCCUGUCUGAAUAUGGGGGGACCAUC